rfam:Natrialba asiatica DSM 12278 contig_35, whole genome shotgun sequence.
GGGCCAAUAGCUCAAUUAGGUUGAGCGCCACUCUGAUAAGGUGGAGGCUCUCGGUUCAAAUCCGAGUUGGCCCA